CAUACUUUGGUAAUUGGAAUGAGAACAAUUUAAACCCCUUAACGAGUAACCAUCAGAGGGCAAGUCUGGUGCCAGCAGCCGCGGUAAUUCCAGCUCUGAUAGCGUAUAUUAAAGUUGUUGCAGUUAAAAAGCUCGUAGUUGGAUUUUAGAGUGUAUUGAUACGGUCUCUUGUGAUAAACUUGUUGUACUGUAUUAAUUACUCUUUCCUACUGGUUACUCGACUCUGUUCUUUAUUGCAUGGAGUAGUGUCGCAAGGCAUCGCUUAGUAUUUUAUUGCUUUUAGAUGUAGUAAUUGGGUAAAACUGGUUGCGAAACCUAAGGGAUCACAGUAAAGUAUUAAGUGGGGUUCCAGUUCAUUUACUUUGAGUAAAUUAGAGUGUUCAAAGCAGCCUGUAUGGGCAUUGAAUAGAUUAGCAUGGGAUAAUAGAAUAGGAUUCUUGUCUAUUUAUUGGUUUAUAGGUUUAGAAUAAUGAUUAAUAGGGAUAGUUGGGGGCG
rnacentral:rRNA from 1 species